rnacentral:sRNA from 1 species
ACCCAGGGGGAAGGAGGAGAAGCAGGAACUAAAACGGUUCCAAAGCGUUCUACUGCAUAGGUCGGAGGUCAGCAGGGCGGGCAGAAAUAAUAUUACUGAUUAUUCUCGUCUAUUAACUAUUCUUAACCGUCCAGUGACAAUGAAAAAAAAAAAAAAAGUCGAGGUGAAAAUUCCUAAUGGAUUUUGUUCAUAUAGUCUAAGGCGCAAGCCUCGGAAAUUCCCGUCCUGGCAGUGACAGCCGGUUCUUGUUGCUCUCUUUUUUCUUCUCCUCCUCGCCCCCAAGAACCCAAAAUGCGGAGAAACUGGGGUUAGAGUUCGAAAAGGAGAGUGUGUUUGUUCCGAGAGGGGGAGGCGGAUUACACUAACUAGCGUUGGCUACUCCAAAAAAACAUAGAUGCAUCACAUACUGCCGU